rnacentral:rRNA from 1 species
CGAACGGGUGAGUAAUGCGUGACCAACCUGCCCCGUGCUCCAGAAUAGCUCUUGGAAACGGGUGGUAAUGCUGGAUGCUCCAACUUGACGCAUGUCUUGUUGGGAAAGUGUUUAGUGGCAUGGGAUGGGGUCGCGUCCUAUCAGCUUGUAGGCGGGGUAAUGGCCCACCUAGGCUUCGACGGGUAGCCGGCCUGAGAGGGCGGACGGCCACAUUGGGACUGAGAUACGGCCCAGACUCCUACGGGAGGCAGCAGAC